CUCUAUGUCAGGCUUGCAGCUUCUGAGUUCUCAAGUUCUAACAGUAAUAAGGGAAUGGUUACUGGGGUGGCUGUGGGUUCAUCGGUUAUGCUAAUUCUCCUUGGCCUGCUUCUAUCAGUAAUCCUGAGAAGGACAAAUAUGAGAAAAACAGACAAGGUAUCAGGAAGUUCGUCUGAGAUAAAAAACAAUGUUGCAGCUGGAGGAGGACAAAACAAUGCACAGCUGAUUUCAUUUAGCUUUAAAAGUAUGUUAGCCGCCACAAAUAACUUUUCCGAAGCAAAUAAACUGGGAGAGGGUGGGUUUGGCCCUGUCUAUAAGGGAAAUCUGCCUGGAGAUCAAGAAAUAGCCAUAAAAAGGCUUUCAAGAAAAUCUGGACAAGGACUAGAGGAAUUUAUGAAUGAGUUGAAACUUAUUGCCAAUCUCCAACAUAAGUAUCUUGUCAGGCUUUUGGGUUGCUGUGUUGAAAGGGAGGAGAAGAUGUUGAUAUACGAGUACAUGC
rnacentral:misc_RNA from 1 species